rnacentral:rRNA from 1 species
UACGUAGGGUGCGAGCGUUAAUCGGAAUUACUGGGCGUAAAGCGUGCGCAGGCGGUUAUGUAAGACAGUUGUGAAAUCCCCGGGCUCAACCUGGGAACUGCAUCUGUGACUGCAUAGCUAGAGUACGGUAGAGGGGGAUGGAAUUCCGCGUGUAGCAGUGAAAUGCGUAGAUAUGCGGAGGAACACCGAUGGCGAAGGCAAUCCCCCUGGACCUGUACUGACGCUCAUGCACGAAAGCGUGGGGGAGCAAACAGG